rnacentral:rRNA from 1 species
GGACAACCGUGGGAAACCGCGGCUAAUACCGGAUGUCUCCUACGGGAGAAAGGCUUGCCGCCUUGGGAGGGGCCCGCGUUGGAUUAGCUUGUUGGUGGGGUAAUGGCCUACCAAGGCUGCGAUCCAUAGCUGGUAUGAGAGGAUGAUCAGCCACAGGGGGACUGAGACACGGCCCAGACUCCUACGGGAGGCAGCAGUGGGGAAUCUUGCGCAAUGGGCGAAAGCCUGACGCAGCAACGCCGCGUGCGGGAUGACGGCCUUCGGGUUGUAAACCGCUUUCAGCAGGGACGAAAUUGACGGUACCUGCAGAAGAAGCCCCGGCCAACUACGUGCCAGCAGCCGCGGUAACACGUAGGGGGCAAGCGUUGUCCGGAUUUAUUGGGCGUAAAGAGCUCGUAGGCGGCUCGGUAAGUCGGGUGUGAAACCUCCAGGCUCAACCUGGAGACGCCACCUGAUACUGCUGUGGCUAGAGUCCGGUAGGGGAGCGUGGAACUCCUGGUGUAGCGGUGAAAUGCGCAGAUAUCAGGAAGAACACCAGCGGCGAAGGCGGCGCUCUGGGCCGGAACUGACGCUGAGGAGCGAAAGCGUGGGUAGCAAACAGGAUUAGAUACCCUGGUAGUCCACGCCGUAAACGUUGGGCACUAGGUGUGGGUCUCAACCAACGAGAUCCGUGCCGCAGCUAACGCAUUAAGUGCCCCGCCUGGGGAGUACGGCCGCAAGGCUAAAACCCAAAGGAAUUGACGGGGGCCCGCACAAGCGGCGGAGCAUGUUGCUUAAUUCGAGGCAACGCGAAGAACCUUACCUGGGUUUGACAUACUGGGAAAAGCCACAGAGAUGUGGUGUCCGUAAGGGUCCAGAACAGGUGGUGCAUGGCUGUCGUCAGCUCGUGUCGUGAGAUGUUGGGUUAAGUCCCGCAACGAGCGCAACCCUUGUCCUAUGUUGCCACGUAAUGGUGGGGACUCGUAGGAGACUGCCGGGGUCAACUCGGAGGAAGGUGGGGACGACGUCAAGUCAUCAUGCCCCUUAUGUCCAGGGCUGCAAACAUGCUACAAUGGCCGGUACAAAGGGCAGCUAUACCGCGAGGUGGAGCGAAUCCCAAAAAGCCGGUCUCAGUUCGGAUUGGAGUCUGCAACUCGACUCCAUGAAGUCGGAGUCGCUAGUAAUCCCGGAUCAGCAACGCCGGGGUGAAUACGUUCCCGGGCCUU